rnacentral:rRNA from 1 species
UACGUAGGGGGCAAGCGUUGUCCGGAUUUAUUGGGCGUAAAGAGCUCGUAGGCGGUUUGGUAAGUCGGAUGUGAAAUCCCUCGGCUCAACCGAGGAACUGCAUCCGAAACUGCGAGGCUCGAGUCCUGGAGAGGGUAGUGGAAUUCCCAGUGUAGCGGUGAAAUGCGUAGAUACUGGGAGGAACACCGGUGGCGAAGGCGGCUACCUGGACAGGUACUGACGCUGAGGCGCGAAAGCCAGGGGAGCAAACAGG